rnacentral:rRNA from 1 species
AUUGUUAUAAUUAAUUAUAUUAUUGAUAGUAUUUUUAUUUAAUUUAAAUAUUUUAUUUAAAUAUAAUUUAUAAUUUUAAAAAAUUAGUAAUACUGAUUAAAUUAGUAUAAAAUUAUUUAAAAUUAAUUUUAUUAAAUUAAGGUUAAUUUAAGGAAUUCGGCAAAUUUAUUUUUCACCUGUUUAUUAAAAACAUGUCUUUUUGAUAAUAAUUUAAAGUCUAAUCUGCCCACUGAGAUUUUAAAUGGCCGCGGUAUUUUGACCGUGCAAAGGUAGCAUAAUAAUUAGUUUUUUAAUUGAAAGCUGGAAUGAAUGAUUGAAUGAGAAAAUAACUGUCUCAAAUUAAUUUUUUAUAGAAUUUUAUUUUUAAGUUAAAAAGCUUAAAUUUAAUUAAAAGACGAGAAGACCCUAUAGAGUUUAAUAUAUUAAUUUAUUAAAAUUAAUAGUUUUUAUUAUUUAAAUUUAAGAUAUAUAUUUUGUUGGGGUGAUAGAAAAAUUUAUUAAACUUUUUUUAAUUUUUUUCAUUAUUAAAUGUUUUUUUGAUCCAUAAAUAAUGAUUAUAAGAGUAAAUUACCUUAGGGAUAACAGCGUAAUUUUUUUAAAGAGUUCAAAUCGAAAAAAAAGAUUGCGACCUCGAUGUUGGAUUAAAGUUAAUUUUUGGUGUAGAAGCUAAAAUAUUAGGUCUGUUCGACCUUUAAAACUUUACAUGAUCUGAGUUUAAACCGGUGUGAGCCAGGUUGGUUUCUAUCUUUAAUUAUUUAAUAUAUUUUAGUACGAAAGGACCAAAUAUAAAUUAUAAUAAUUUAUUUUUGAAUAUUAUU